GAGACACUCUCUCAGAAGUGAAGCCUCCUCAAAGGGUCAGUAGCUCUUGUUAAUAGUUCUUGAUUGUUGCUUGCAAAACCCUCCCUGGCUCAGACUCUGUUUUUAAGUACUUAGCAGAAAGAAUAGCCCUCCCCCAACCUGAACUGCUUGCCCUUGAAAAACUUCCCACCUUUUGUUGUCUCUGGGCAAACUUGUGUAAUUCUCUGCUACUGGGGAAAAUCCGUGAAUAGAUUGUUCCCCUCAAAGCCUAGCCAAUGGGAUAAGGGGAAAGGGGUUAGGGAGAAGGAGCUCGAGUUAGGGUAUAAAUAAGCCUUGAUUUCUGUAAUGAACUUGUACUCUCCUGGCAGGUCAUGGUGACUAGGAGCGGUACCCUUUCUCAUGAGAAAGCAAUAAACUCCUUUCUAGUUUCACGGUAUGUAAGUCUUUGUUUUUAUUUUGAGUAAGUGGACUCUGUCCCACACAGUUGGGGACUCUCCCUGGAAUUUCAUCCCUUAUUUGAGAAGGGCCUCCCAGCCAGUCCUAGCACAGGCACCCACCGGCCGCUUGCCAGCUGUCCAAUGAAUGGUUUGGGAGUUUCCUUUCACUUUUAAGGAAUGGACCCAAAGAAAGACAGAUACCUGAAAGCAGAAACCUUGGAAAGGGCACAACGACCACCACCCACUGAAGAAUUUGAAUCAGUCACAUAAGUUUGUAUACCCAGACCCAGUUUUGAAUGUGGAGGAAAAGAAAGAAAAAAGAAAAGGGGAACCUUUUCCCCUCAGAUGAAAAAGAAAGGCAGAUUGAGUAGCACUUAAUCCUUUCUGCCUCACAUAACAGAGACAAGUUUUUGUGCACCAGAACACAACCAAAAGAAGAAAGGAAUCGUUCGCAAACUCCUCCACUGGGGUUUCCUGUGCCCAAAUUCCAGCCUGGUGAUUAGAUUCUCAGUCUGGGCAUGAAAAGAAGAAUUGACUCCAGGUGCUAUUAAAGAGAAAGGCUGGACUCACUAUACCAGAGUGAAAUACAAUGGCAUGUGUUAAAAUGCAGAAUUAUUAUUAUUUAAUGUAAUUGUUAAAGGUACCAAGUAGUGAUAUGAGUGAUAAUUUCUAUAUGUGAUAAUAUAGAAAUGCAAUUGAUGUUAUCUGAAGUUUAUUGUGUUACAAAAGUUAUUACUGUUUCUAAAUUGUAUUGUAUUUCUAAAACUCUUAGACUGUAAAAUUUGAGGGAAAUUGUUAUUGUCCUACUCCCGGUGUGUUUCCCCUGCAAGACUUCCUGUCCGGCCUGGUUAAAAUAGAAGGGAAAGGAGAAAUCAAGCUGGUGGUUCUGAAAAGUCAGGGCUGGGUAUCAGUCUGAGACCACCCUGAUGUUAUUAAGAUUUAGUGGGUGUGAGGAGGCUUCAAAUUGUAAGAAAUGAGAGAUGAUCUCUCAGAAGUGAAGGCUCCUCAAAGGGUCAUUAGUUCUUGUUAGUGGUUCUUGUAUUGUUGUUUU